UACGGAGGAUGCAAGCGUUAUCCGGAAUUAUUGGGCGUAAAGCGUCCGCAGGUGGUACAUCAAGUCUGCUGUCAAAGACCGGAGCUCAACUCCGGGCAGGCAGUGGAAACUGGUGAACUAGAGUACGGUAGGGGUAGAGGGAAUUCCCAGUGUAGCGGUGAAAUGCGUAGAGAUUGGGAAGAACACCAGUGGCGAAGGCGCACUACUGGGCCGUAACGGACACUCAGGGACGAAAGCUAGGGGAGCGAAAGGG
rnacentral:rRNA from 1 species